rnacentral:rRNA from 1 species
GACGAACGCUGGCGGCGUGCUUAACACAUGCGAGUCGAACGGAAAGGCCCUGCUUUUGUGGGGUGCUCGAGUGGCGAACGGGUGAGUAACACGUGAGUAACCUGCCCUUGACUUUGGGAUAACUUCAGGAAACUGGGGCUAAUACCGGAUAGGAGCUCCUGCUGCAUGGUGGGGGUUGGAAAGUUUCGGCGGUUGGGGAUGGACUCGCGGCUUAUCAGCUUGUUGGUGGGGUAGUGGCUUACCAAGGCUUUGACGGGUAGCCGGCCUGAGAGGGUGACCGGCCAAAUGGGGACGGGGAUACGGCCGAGACUCCAAGGGGGGGGAGCGGGGGGGAAUAUUGCACAAGGGGGGGAAGCCUGAUGCAGCAACGCCGGGGGGGGGAUGACGGCCUUGGGGUUGAAAACCGCUUUCGCCUGGGACGAAGCGGGGGGGACGGUAAUGGGGAAAGAAGCACCGGCUAACUACGG